AUUUCCAUUUUUCCAUUUUAUUUAUUUUAUUCAUUUUAUUUUUCUCUUUUGAUUUUUUUUUAACUCUCUUAUUUUUUUUUGUUGAAGAAUGUUGAACAUCAACCCCCCUUAUUUUUUCCUCUAAAAUUUAAUGGUGAUUCUAUUUAUUUUAUUUGGAUCAUUUACGAUAGACUUUUGGAGUCUUGAAAUAAAGGACCAAUGAAAAUCAUUCAAGUCAUGAUGUGCUUGGUUU
rnacentral:lncRNA from 1 species